CAACGAUGAAGAGUUUGAUCCUGGCUCAGGAUGAACGCUAGCGGCAGGCCUAACACAUGCAAGUCGAGGGGUAACAGGGAAGAGCUUGCUCUUUCGCUGACGACCGGCGCACGGGUGCGUAACGCGUAUACAACCUACCUUUUGGAGGGGAAUAGCCCAGGGAAACUUGGAUUAAUGCCCCAUAGUAUGGGAAUAUCUCCUGAUAUUUUCAUUAAACAUUUAUGGCCAUUAGAUGGGUAUGCGUCCUAUUAGUUAGUUGGUAAGGUAACGGCUUACCAAGGCAGCGAUAGGUAGGGGUCCUGAGAGGGAGAUCCCCCACACUGGUACUGAGACACGGACCAGACUCCUACGGGAGGCAGCAGUGAGGAAUAUUGGACAAUGGGCGAGAGCCUGAUCCAGCCAUGCCGCGUGCAGGAAGACUGCCCUAUGGGUUGUAAACUGCUUUUACAGAGGAAGAACCACUCCCACGUGUGGGAGUUUGACGGUACUCUGCGAAUAAGGAUCGGCUAACUCCGUGCCAGCAGCCGCGGUAAUACGGAGGAUCCAAGCGUUAUCCGGAAUCAUUGGGUUUAAAGGGUCCGUAGGCGGGCAGUUAAGUCAGUGGUGAAAGUCUUCCGCUCAACGGGAGAACUGCCAUUGAUACUGAUUGUCUUGAGUUAUUAUGAAGUGGUUAGAAUGAGUAGUGUAGCGGUGAAAUGCAUAGAUAUUACUCAGAAUACCGAUUGCGAAGGCAGAUCACUAAUAAUAUACUGACGCUGAUGGACGAAAGCGUAGGUAGCGAACAGGAUUAGAUACCCUGGUAGUCUACGCCGUAAACGAUGGUUACUAGCUGUUCGGCCCGAUUAAGGGCUGAGUGGUUAAGCGAAAGUGAUAAGUAACCCACCUGGGGAGUACGUUCGCAAGAAUGAAACUCAAAGGAAUUGACGGGGGCCCGCACAAGCGGUGGAGCAUGUGGUUUAAUUCGAUGAUACGCGAGGAACCUUACCAGGGCUUAAAUGUAGUCUGACA
rnacentral:rRNA from 1 species